rnacentral:lncRNA from 1 species
AUGGGAAACCGUCUUCAGUCUUUUCUGUCACUCCUUUCAUAAUGACGAUUUCAUUUCCAAGGUAAGCCAAAAGAAAUCAGUCCGUUUUAUUUUCUUGUUCAAAGCCUUUCAUUCUUCAUUUUUCUUCUCUGGAGACUUCUUCUUCACUUCCCCCAUCCAGCCGAGCUUGAUCCAUUUGCAUAAUCUGGAACUCCCCUAUCCAGGUAAAACUCUUCUCCUCUUCUCAAUGAUUCUGUUGCUAUGAUAUGAGCAAGACCAUUUGCGGAUCUAGGUAUAUACUGAAAUCUGAUGUUUUCAAGUCCAUAGAUUUCCUGUUGAAUGUCAAAAAUGUAUACUUCCACCAUAGAUCUAUCUUGACUCUUCGAUUUACAUUUUUUGACUAUUGUGAGGGAGUCUCCUUCAAGGAUCAAAUGUCGCCAUCCCCUCCUGAUUCCCAUUUGAACGCCUUUCCGGCAGGCAAUUGCUUCAGCAGCAAAGGCUGAUGGAAUACCAAAAUGAAUCUCUGAAUAUGAAAAAAGAAUAGUACCAUUCGAAUCUCUGGCCACAAUACCCACACCCGACUGAUUCUUUACUUUAUCGUAAGCACCAUCAAAGUUGAUCUUCAUGAAACUUUCCUGUGGUGGCGACCAUCUCUUUUUCUCUAAGGUACGGUUCAGAUCUCUCUUCUCAAGACUAUCAAUUUCUUUGAUGUAACUGAUUAUAAGAUUUGCAACUUCCGUCCCCUUUCUAAUUUUACCUUCAUGUAUUCUUUUGUUUCUGUCACCCCAUAUUGCCCAGAGUGCACAACAAAAUACGCGACUUUGAUCAAGGUUGAGCUGCUCUAUUGCCCAGGUAAUCCACUGUACAAAAUCUUCACAAUGAUUCCUUAAAAUGCACUGAAACGAUAAUGAUCUCCAUACCUCCCUUGUAAUAUGACAGUAACGAAAUAAGUGGUUCAUUGGUUCAGCUUCUUCUCCACAUCGGGGACAGCUCGGAUUUACUACUAACUUCCGAUGUUGAAGAUUCACCUUUGUAGGCAGAUAAUUCCAAGAUAGCUUCCAUAUUGUAACCUUAAUUUUAGCUGGUAGAUUCAGGCACCAUAGUUUUUUAUAAAAAUUCCCAUAGAUGGUCUGUAAAGCAUAAGCUCUAGGAUUGUCAGUCAAUUUUUGUAAUAGUUGAUAGGCACUUCUGACCGUAAACUCACCCGACCGUUCGCCUCCCCAGAUAAGAAAAUCAUCAUGCGGUGUUUGUGCCAGAGGGAUUCUGAGGAUUCUAGCUGCGUCGUCUUCCAGGAAGGUACUAGUAAUCAACUCUUUUUUCCAACUUCUGGUAUUAUUAUCAAUCAACUCGCCAACUUUAACAUCACGCAAAAAAUUAAUAUCUGAUGAUAAUCUAAAAUUAACAGAAUCUGGAAUCCAAGCAUCGCUUAUGCAAAUAUUAGUACCCGUCCCCACCCUUCAACAAUGCCCUUUUUCCAAUAAGUCCUUUGCUGCCCAAAUACUUUUCCAUACAUACGAACUAGAAUUUCCUAACCUGAAAUUUAAGAAAUUAUCAUCCGAAAAAUACUUAGCUUUAAACACUUUCGUUACAAGCGCAUUCUGAUUAUUCAUAAUCCUCCACCCUUGCUUAGCCAAUAGAGCUACAUUGAACUGUGCCAUAUUUCGGAAGCCCAUACCACCCUCUUCUUUAGGCCUACACAUAAAUUCCCAUUGACACCAUUGAAUUCCUUUCUUUCCUUUCCCUUUCUGCCACCAAAAUCUAGCAACUAAAUUGUCAAACUCAUCACAAAGCGAUUUUGGUAAUAGAAAACAUGUCAUAGCAUAAGUAGGAAUUGCCUGAAGAACUGAUUUAAUAAAAACCUCUCUACCCCCUUGAGAGAAGAAGCGAGUACUCCAAUUAUCAAUUCUUUGCUUUAUUCUGUCUUUGAGAUUCUGAAACGAUUCUUUUUUCUUCCGGCCUACAAUAUUUGGCAAUCCAAGAUAUUUUUCCAUAUUGUUCGAAAAUCUUAUUCCCAUAUCAGCUGAUAACCUGCCUUUAUCCCCCUCCUUCAAAUUCGAACUAAAAAAGAUCAUUGAUUUAUUAAAGUUAACGCAUUGACCAGAGCAACUCUCAUAUUCUUUCAAAAUAGCUUUGAAGUUCCUUGCACUACUUUCUGUGGCUUCACCAAACAAAAUACAAUCGUCUGCGAAUAACAAGUGCGAUAUUAUCGGGCCUCUUCUGCUGGCUCUCACCCUUUUAAUCAAUCCCUCUUUUGUAGCAUUCCUGAUUAACGACGAUAAACCUUCAUUGCAAAUAAGAAAUAGAAAAGGGCUAAGUGGGUCACCCUGUCUGAGUCCUCUGGUUGGUUCAAAGACUCUACCAUUCCUCCCGUUCGUAGUAACAACAUAAGAGACUGUAGAAAUACAUCUCAUUAUAAGUACCACCCAUUCCUUCGCAAAACCCAUCCGUAUCAUAACUUCCUUCAAGAAAGCCCAUUCCACCCUAUCGUAAGCUUUACUCAUGUCAAGCUUAAUUGCCAUAAAACCUUUCUUCCCCUUACGUUUUUUCCGAAGAGUAUGCAGAAUUUCAUAAGCUAUCAAAAUAUUGUCUGAAAUUAGCCUCCCUGGGACAAAUGCACUUUGAGCACUAUCAAUGCAUCUCCCGAUGACUUCUUGAAAACGAUUGGCAAUAGCUUUAGCAAUAAUUUUAUAAAGAACUGUGCAUAAACUAAUUGGUCUAAAAUCUGCAAGGUUUGUAGGAUUGGAUUUCUUCGGAAUAAGGGUAAUCUUAGUUACAUUUAACUCUUCCACGUCUUUUCCAUUAUUUAAAACUUCUAAACAAAAAUUCCCAAUAUCUUCGCCCACUAUAUCCCAGUAUUUUUGAAAGAAUAGAGCCGGGAAGCCAUCAUAACCUGGAGCUUUUGUUGAACCCAUUCCCUUCACUGCAAUAUAAAUCUCCUCUAACGUAAAUUUUUUCAAUAGGGUUGCAUUGAUAUCCGAAGAGAUGCAAUUCUGAAUACCUGUUAGAAGAUGAGAAGGAUCUCUAACGCCUGUAGUCGAGAAAAGCUUUUGAAAAUACUGCGUCGCCAACUCAUUAAUUUUAAACUCCUCAGUAAUUCCUCUCCCAUCAUCAUUAUCAAGCCUGCUAAUUGUAUUAAUUUUUCUCCGCAUUGAUGCAUAUUUAUGAAAAAAUUCUGUAUUUUUAUCCCCCAACUUUAGCCAAUUAGCUCGUGCUCUCUGUUCCCAAUACAUCUCCUCCUUCUCGAUUUCCAUGCUCAAAUGAAUUCUUUUAUUAAUUAUCUGGUUCAUAACAUCUUCAUCAGGUUCCUUCUUCAUUAAAUCUUCAACCUCUUUUGUAGUUCUUUCUGUCAUUCCCUUCCGUUGCCUUCUAAUAGAUUUAGCCCAUUUCGAUAAGCUAAUCUGCAAGUUCUCAAGAUUUUCCAAAACCGAUCCAUUUUGUGACUUCCAGGCUUCCCGAAUUUCUUUCUCUAUUGACUCCUCUGUAGUCCACCAGGCUUCAAAUUUAUAACUUGGAACUGUCUUGAAACUGUUUAAAUUAAUUGUGCUUAUUAACAAAGGACAAUGAUCCGAAAGGGUAGACAUCAGAUGAUUAAUAUUGCCCGUUGGAAAUAACUCCAUCCAUUUUUCGUUUGCAACACCUCUAUCCAAUCUUUCCCAUAAUUCGUCUCUGGUAAAUUCCCUCUCUCCCAUGUAUACCAUACUCCUGAAUAUCCCAAGUCUAAAAAGUGACAUUCUUGUAGAGUUUCCCGAAACGCUGCCAUCUUUCUUUCAUCCAUCGGUUGACCUCUUUUUUUUCAAAAGAAUAAGCUAUUUCAUUGAAAUCUCCACUCACUAACCAAGGAUACUCUUGCUCCUGUCCCAAGAUCUUUAAUAAAUCCCAUGAAGCAUUUUUAUCUUGUGAGUAGGGAGAGCCAUAGAACCCUGUGAAUCUCCAAUCGCCAUGAGCACCUUCUCCUUUAACCAGCACAUCAAUAUGACUUAUUGACAAAGAUCUAAGGUGAAUCUGAACCUCCUCUCGCCAUGCUAAACAAAUACCACCCUGCGUACCAGUAGCUCCUACUUCAAGUCCAUUCAUGAAACCACACAUUCUUCUAAUUGCUUCCAUACGUUUUCCACUUACUUUAGUCUCCAUUAAGAAGACAAAUUGAGGAUUAUUUUGCUUCAGUAAAAAUCGAAGCUUCCUUACUGCCCGUGGACUCCCCAAUCCACGGACAUUCCAACAUAUGAUUUUCAUUGUGCCCGGUCGGCUUGCCCAUUGGCAGCCGCCGAUCCUGUCUGGUUGGAAAAUUCUAUUUGUAAAUUAAUUUCAUCCUUCGAAGUUAGAUCCUGUUCAGCACGUUUUGUCCUUUUUAGAUUCUCUUCUCGAAUCUCCUUUACCCCAUCUUCAUCUUGCACUAAUUCUGCCAAUUUCCUUUUUUGCAAUUUACGAUCAGCCUCAUGGUUCUCCUUCCCUCCCACUAUUUUCCUUCUUUUCCAACUAACUUUCCUGGCUAAAACUAGAUUACUGACAGUACUAUCUACAUUACCUCCUUCAUUGAUACCUGCUUCCUUGUGUAAUUCAAG